GACAGAGGAGGCAAGCGUUGUUCGGAAUUAUUGGGCUUAAAGCGCGUGUAGGCGGCCGGGUAAGUGAUUUGUGAAAGUCCAAGGCUCAACCGGGGAAUUGCAGGGCAUACUGGGCGGCUUGAGGUCGGUAGAGGUAGCCGGAACUCUAGGUGGAGCGGUGAAAUGCGUAGAUAUCUAGAGGAACGCCGGAGGCGAAAGCGGGCCACUGGGCCUAUUCUGACGCUGAGACGCGAAAGCGUGGGUAGCAAACAGG
rnacentral:rRNA from 1 species